GAGUGGCGAACGGGUGAGUAACACGUGAGUAACCUGCCUGGUAGUGGGGGAUAACUAUUGGAAACGAUAGCUAAUACCGCAUAACAGUAGAUAUCGCAUGAUAGCUGCUUGAAAGGUGCAAUUGCACCACUACCAGAUGGACCUGCGUUGUAUUAGCUAGUUGGUGAGGUAACGGCUCACCAAGGCAACGAUACAUAGCCGACCUGAGAGGGUGAUCGGCCACACUGGGACUGAGACACGGCCCAGACUCC
rnacentral:rRNA from 1 species